rnacentral:rRNA from 1 species
ACGCUGAAGAAUGCUUAAACACAUGCAAGUCUACUUGAACUUCGGUUUGGGUGGCGGACGGGUGAGUAACGCGUAAAGAACUUGCCUCACAGUUAGGGACAACAUUUGGAAACGAAUGCUAAUACCUGAUAUUAUGAUUUUAGGGCAUCCUAAGAUUAUGAAAGCUAUAUGCGCUGUGAGAGAGCUUUGCGUCCCAUUAGCUAGUUGGAGAGGUAACGGCUCACCAAAGCGAUGAUGGGUAGCCGGCCUGAGAGGGUGAACGGCCACAAGGGGACUGAGACACGGCCCUUACUCCUACGGGAGGCAGCAGUGGGGAAUAUUGGACAAUGGACCAAAAGUCUGAUCCAGCAAUUCUGUGUGCACGAUGACGUUUUUCGGAAUGUAAAGUGCUUUCAGUUGGGAAGAAAAAAAUGACGGUACCAACAGAAGAAGUGACGGCUAAAUACGUGCCAGCAGCCGCGGUAAUACGUAUGUCACAAGCGUUAUCCGGAUUUAUUGGGCGUAAAGCGCGUCUAGGUGGUUAUGUAAGUCUGAUGUGAAAAUGCAGGGCUCAACUCUGUAUUGCGUUGGAAACUGCAUGACUAGAGUACUGGAGAGGUAAGCGGAACUACAAGUGUAGAGGUGAAAUUCGUAGAUAUUUGUAGGAAUGCCGAUGGGGAAGCCAGCUUACUGGACAGAUACUGACGCUAAAGCGCGAAAGCGUGGGUAGCAAACAGGAUUAGAUACCCUGGUAGUCCACGCCGUAAACGAUGAUUACUAGGUGUUGGGGGUCGAACCUCAGCGCCCAAGCUAACGCGAUAAGUAAUCCGCCUGGGGAGUACGUACGCAAGUAUGAAACUCAAAGGAAUUGACGGGGACCGCACAAGCGGUGGAGCAUGUGGUUUAAUUCGACGCAACGCGAGGAACCUU